rnacentral:misc_RNA from 1 species
GCCAAAUGAACUUCAAGGGGUAGUCACCGAUGUUAAGGGAAAUAUUAGCAGUCUUCUCGCCCGAAAUCAGUUCGCCAUUUGUAUCGGUCGAACGAUUCGAGAUCAAUAAGAUCGAGGUCCUCGAUCCCGGUCGGUAAAUUAGUCCGGUUCUCUCACGGUCAUCAAAUGAGGUUAUCAUAAUUUCCCGUUCACCAGGAUCGUAAAUUUUCAGGCAAGGAACAAAGAGGGCAACCGAAAAAAGAUCAAAAGCGGUUAUCAUGUCCGGGAUUGUUGCCGGAGCAGCUAGAACAGGAAAAAUGAGGAGAAAAGGGGAGAAAAUCAAAUGCAGAAGGUUUCCCUGUUGAAGGUAUAUAUAGAGGAGGUCCGAGCAUUUAUUGCUAAACAGAAAACGAAGCGAACGCCUCGAAAAAUGAGGGAAAUAAAUGCUUUGACUGGACCGAACCCGAUAAAAGGGAAGAUCGGAGUGAUAGAGAUCGGAAGAAAGGAGGCCGGCAUGAAAGAUCGGAAAAUGAUCGUGUUAGAAAGAUCGGAAUGAAGGGGAGGUCGGAAGACAAAAGGGGUAAGACAACUCCCACUAACUGUCGUCAUAAUCGGAGCCGAGGUAGUUAAAGUGUUGCAGACGAGAUCUCAACCGCACGCCUCAGAAUCGCCCACAUUACUGACAGGUGCCAGAGUAUGUCAUGACAGUCCUGUACAUUCCAAUCUCCACCGUUGAUCCCACUUGUCCGGACAAACCCGGAACCCUUAGAUCAAGAGAGAAGACGACAAUACCAGCGUCUUUCGCU